GGAAGAUCAGGCAAUGCUUCAUGGGAAAAGGGGUCUCACUGUGUCAUCCAGGCUGGAGUGCAGUGGUGCAAUCUCGGCUCACCACGACCUCCACCUCCUGGGUUCAAGUGAUUCUCCUACUUCAUCCUCCCAAGUAGCUGGGACUACAGCCAGAGACAGACUCCCAGACUCGGCCAGAGGCUGAUGCCGACUCCUUCCAGCUCUCACGGUAACCAUGAGGCCCCUGCGUGUUUCUGCUGUGGAGGUCCCAGAGGGAACUGUAUGGACAGACACAGCCUGAAGGGCCAUCUGCCUCAAGCCACAGCAGCACAGAAUUCUAAAGAUUGUGGGGAAGGAUGGCGCCUAGGGGACCAGAUGUGCAGAGGUAAUGAAUACCAGGGAAUCAGGAAACCACUGGAUCAGUUCUUUGAGCCACAGAACAACACUCAUCCCAGCAGCUGGGAAGCUAUCUGCAAAAGUCCAUCUGCAGAAAGGGCUUCCUGGUCUUGCGUGUGGCUGGGCCAUUUCUCUGGAUGCAGGUUUUUCAUUAUACAGUCUUCUCAAAGAAACACCUGCUCUCAACACC
rnacentral:antisense_RNA from 1 species